rnacentral:lncRNA from 1 species
CUCUCAUAUCUUUCAGAUUGUGAACUAAAAUGACAAACUCAGCAGGACCAUUUGAAAAUUCAGUCUGCAGACCCUGGCUGACCACGGAUAACUGAAACUGUGGAUAAGCAGGGACUACAGCACCCAUUUCGAAGGCUAUCCAUGUUGCUCUGUGAAGGUACUUCUGGUGACCAACCUUGGACCAGAUUUCAGAACUCUGCAGCAACAACCUCUUUACAACAAUGAAUUCUGUAUCGAAUAGAUCUCUGCUCAACAGCCCCAAGUCACUUUCCCUUGCAGAAGAUUAUCUUCAUUCAAACAGAAGUUUCAGAGAGUUCACAUUUCUUUAAAAGAGGUGGAAAAUAUAGUUGGGUUUAAAUGCUCAUGUAGAAUUCUAUUAUUUGCCACUCCAUGGUUUAAUUUCUAAAGCUGCCUGCCAUGUGUGACUUGUCUCUGUUGUGUAUUGGUUAAGUGUGCAGGGUCUCCAACUAGGCUAAGUCACCCUAUAUUCUGGCUUCAUCAUUACUUGUGAAACUUAGGCACAUUACUUAACCUCUCAAAGUCUUAGCUUAUUCCGCUGUAAAGUGGGCAUCAUGAUUGCAUUUACCUCAUAGAAUUGUGUGAAUUAAAUAAAAUAUAUAUAAAGCAUUUACUAUAGUGCAUAGCACAUAGGAAGAACUCACUAAAUAUUAAAACUUAUCAUUUUAUUAUUAGAAAUAAACAUAUGCCUAUAUUCUUUAUGUACAGCAUAUUAGGUAAGAGCAUGGGCUUUAAUGCCAGGUCCACAUUUGCUAGGUAUGUGACCUGAGAAAAGUUCCUUAAGCAGCC